rnacentral:rRNA from 1 species
GAGCUUGCUCCUUUGACGUUAGCGGCGGACGGGUGAGUAACACGUGGAUAACCUACCUAUAAGACUGGGAUAACUUCGGGAAACCGGAGCUAAUACCGGAUAACAUAUUGAACCGCAUGGUUCAAUAGUGAAAGGCGGCUUUGCUGUCACUUAUAGAUGGAUCCGCGCCGUAUUAGCUAGUUGGUAAGGUAACGGCUUACCAAGGCAACGAUACGUAGCCGACCUGAGAGGGUGAUCGGCCACACUGGAACUGAGACACGGUCCAGACUCCUACGGGAGGCAGCAGUAGGGAAUCUUCCGCAAUGGGCGAAAGCCUGACGGAGCAACGCCGCGUGAGUGAUGAAGGUCUUCGGAUCGUAAAACUCUGUUAUCAGGGAAGAACAAAUGUGUAAGUAACUGUGCACAUCUUGACGGUACCUGAUCAGAAAGCCACGGCUAACUACGUGCCAGCAGCCGCGGUAAUACGUAGGUGGCAAGCGUUAUCCGGAAUUAUUGGGCGUAAAGCGCGCGUAGGCGGUUUUUUAAGUCUGAUGUGAAAGCCCACGGCUCAACCGUGGAGGGUCAUUGGAAACUGGAAAACUUGAGUGCAGAAGAGGAAAGUGGAAUUCCAUGGGUAGAGCCGGG